CGGAGCCGCGCCGGGCGGGGCGCGCGCGUGACGCGGCCACGUGUCCUGGGGUCACGUGCGGCGCGCCCGUCUCCACCCCACCCCCGGGCCCGCUCUUCCUUCGGGUACCCCCAACAGUGGCGGCCGGGAUGGGACCCCAUCACCCCCCGGUGUCCCGGUACCCACCGCCCAUAGACCCCUGUGUUCCGCUAUCCAUUACCCAUCGCCUCCAGGUGUACCGGUAUCCACCGCCCAUCAACCCCGGGUUCCCCCACGGUUCCGGGUCCCUGCCCAGCCGAACCUGCCGGGACAGCGGCUACUGCUGCGUGUCCCGACCCCCGGUCGGGCUCCCUGCUCUUACCGGGCGGCCCCGGUGCCGUUCACCUGCUGCCCGCGCAGUCCCCCCGUCCCCCCAGGCGUUACCCCGGGGGUCGCGGGGGCCACUCCAGCAGCUGCCACCGAGCCGCACCGGCAGCCAGCCAGGGACUCGGGCACGACGAGCACUUGGGGAAUUUCUCUUGUGUCUCCUGGAGCAGUUAUUUAUAGGAAUCUCCAAAUGCUUCCACUCCAGCUGCCCGGGGACUGCACACUGACCCCCGCUCGGGUCCUCCUCAGCAUCCCGGGAGCAGGACAUGCACUGUCCCUGCCCUGUCCCCCCCCGCUGCUCAGCAGACUGCUAAAAAUACUCUUAACCCUCUGAACAGACUGAGAGUGACAUGUGAAUCCCACAGGUGAGCUCCCACCUCAGCCCAAACCUGGAGCUGUGGAUUUGGGUUUUGGACACCCAGCAUGAGUUUGUUAUUUUCUUGAAGUCUAAGGUAUGACUCAGACAAUUUAAUUCUCCUCCUGCCUCAGUGUGGGGCUGGGCACAGGGGUAGUGGGACAGGAUCUGCCCCUGCUGCCUCGGGAAGCAGGUGAGGGGAGUUGGGUGGAGAUGGCCCAGUGUCACCCUUCCCGAGGCUCCCCAUGCUCACUCCAGGUCAAACCAGACAUUUCCUUUCCCCUCUGCAUGGUGACAGCGUGGCACAGCCUGAUGGUGCCACAGCAGAGCACAUCUGUCACCCACACCCCAGUGAGACUGUCCCCCUGCCAUCAGCUGUGACACAGCCCCAACAACACCCAGGGAACAGCCCAAACCAAGGCCCAGCCUCCCUGCAGAGCUUGCAAGAGUCAAAAAGACACAGCCAGCCCUGGGGUGGGUGUAGGACAGCUGGAUGUGGGCUCCUGACAACCCCUCUUCCAAGAGCCACCAGCAGCAGCCAGCGCUCCCCAGCUAAGGCUGAGAGGUUCCUUCAGAGCACAGCAGAACAACCCCAGGAUCAGCUGCUGUCAGGCCAAACCCAGACCAGGUGCUUUAUUCACUUCAUAUUUAUUUAUUUUUCACAAAGACUGUACAAAAUUCUUAUAAAACUCUGGUGUGGGGAUGGGCUAUGACAUUGAUCCAAAAAAUAAUUCCCAUGCAGUCCCACCAGUUCCAUAACUUACAAGGAAACAGAUAAGCUACAGAGAGCUGCGAGUCCUGGAGUAUUUACACCGAGGAGGGCAGGAACAGGAGACAAAGCAACACAGGACCAGAGGUAUUUACAGCACGGACACACAGGCCCCCCUCACCUCACGAGAACGGCAGCAGCGACAGCAGGUCAGGCCCGUGGUGCUCCUAGGCCGACAGAGAAUCUGGGCUAUUUACAGUAUCUCACAUAUUAACAGCUUUACAAACGUGUCCAGGAAGUUCAUCUCAUGUUUAUAAAAAAAAAAGCACCAAG